rnacentral:rRNA from 1 species
UACGGAGGGGGCUAGCGUUGUUCGGAAUCAUUGGGCGUAAAGGGCGCGUAGGCGGCCGAUCAAGUCGGAGGUGAAAUCCCUCGGCUCAACUGAGGAAUUGCCUCCGAUACUGUUCGGCUUGAGUCCUGGAGAGGGUAGUGGAAUUCCGAGUGUAGCGGUGAAAUGCGUAGAGACUCGGAAGAACACCAGUGGCGAAGGCGGCUACCUGGACAGGUACUGACGCUGAAGCGCGAAAGCGUGGGGAGCAAACAGG